ACCGUGCUUGGAGCUUUGCUGCCCAGUCUCUGGACUCGUUCACCAUCAGUCUCUUCCCACAAGAGAAUGUACAAAAUGAGGCCGAGGUUUCUCUGCAACAGUUUGCCAGCUGGUUUGAUGUUGGGUUUCUUGGUUUUCCUGCUUCGACCAGUUUCCACACAGAAAAACAGAAAUCGAAUGUAUUUCUUGGAUAAUGGAGAUGACAUUGUGUUAAACGGACCGGACAAUGCUGAGAAAGACGCUGUUGUUGUCUGGGAAUGGAAACCACACUCAGGGAAGGAAAUCGGAAAAUUGUCGACUUUUAGAAGAAUGAGGAACUCUUGGAUCAAAGAUAACGCCGCUGGCAAAUUGUACCCGGAGAUGAAAGUGAAUUCCUAUACCCUUGAU